rnacentral:rRNA from 1 species
UAGUCCACGCCGUAAACGAUGGUCACUAACUGUUCGGACUUCGGUCUGAGUGGCUAAGCGAAAGUGAUAAGUGACCCACCUGGGGAGUACGUUCGCAAGAAUGAAACUCAAAGGAAUUGACGGGGCCCGUACAAGCGGUGGAGCAUGUGGUUUAAUUCGAUGAUACGCGAGGAACCUUACCAGGGCUUAAAUGUAAGUUGCAUUAGUUAGAGAUAGCUAUUUCUUCGGACUACUUACAAGGUGCUGCAUGGUUGUCGUCAGCUCGUGCCGUGAGGUGUCAGGUUAAGUCCUAUAACGAGCGCAACCCCUGUUGUUAGUUGCCAGCAUGUAAAGAUGGGAACUCUAACAAGACUGCCGGUGCAAACCGCGAGGGAAGGUGGGGAUGACGUCAAAUCAUCACGGGCCCUUACGUCCUGGGGCUACACACGUGCUACAAUGGUAUAUACAGAGAGCAGCCAACUGGUGACAGUGAGCGAAUCUAUAAAGUAUAUCGCAGUUCGGGAUCGGGA